UCUUUUGAUGAGCCACAUAAAAGAUAAAUUUGAAAAAAAAGAGAUUUAUUGCACUGCUGAUCCAUAGAAAAGCUAUGUUUUGGUCAUGUUUUUUAAGUCCAUAUUAAAAACUUCCAGUAUUAUCAACCUAUUUAAUUAAAUUUUGCUGCUGUAAAUUGUUUGUUGGAAAGAUUCUCCCUUCAAAAUUAUUCAGCAGAAAAAUAGAGAACCUGAGAAUAAAGAAUUCUGUAGAAUCCCUGCUUGGUAUUGAUUUUAAGAUGAUUUUUUUUUCUCUUGAAUUUUUCUUCGACAAAACAAAAUAAAAAUUGACAAAAAGUGCUUUAGGCAAAGAGGUUAAAUAACAAUUAUGCAAACAAAUACAGAUGUAUUAAAUGUUUAUUAUAACCAGAGGUAGGAAAUGUUCAUAUCUUUUUCAUCUCGACAAAAAAGCAGCAUAUUUUAUGUGAUGUUGCAGAUGAAUUGCAGUCCCUUACUGUUUUUAAUGAUGAAUACUACUCUAUGCAAUAUUUUUGUGUUUGUGGAAGGUCUGUGUUUAUUUGUGAAUGAUUCAAUCACUGUAAUCUAUCAACAGUUAUUUGGUUCUGGUGAUCAUGUUUCAACUGGCCAACAUUAUUUUCUUUUUUUUUUGCAUAAUAGUGCCUAUUUUUAUGAUAUAGAGGAAGGAUAUGUAUACCAAUAGUACAUGUAUCACCUGUAAAUGAUUCAUUCAAUAUCUACUGUGUAGUGUCAUUGACAAUCACAUGUUUGCUGUAAGAUUUCACAUGUAAAUAAAAUCUUCAAGCUC
rnacentral:misc_RNA from 1 species